CCGAGUCUUGGGUGGCGGCUGGCUGGGAGGGUGCCCCCGCCUGUGGGCGCCAGUGAGCUGCUGCAGGCUCCUCCUGGGCGUCCAGUCCAGGAAAAAAAAAUCGAGACGAACCGAAGAAGAUGAGUCUUUCCCCGAAGGAGAUAGAAGAUGGGGAAGAUGAAAUGUUAGAAGAUCGAAAUGCCAAAACCCUUUGAUCAAGGACAGGCCUGACACAGUCACUCAGCGUGAAUUAAUAGACGUGUUUGAGGAUGUUUCGCAGAUCAGAUUGCUGCAGGAUCGCCUGUGUCGACGGCACGUCACCAGCCGAUGCAGAGAGAGCCUUGCAAGAGAAGCCAGGAACGGGGAUCGGUGGGCUCGCCAUGGUUCUGGACCCCGUGAAUGCGAAAAGCCAAAACCGGGAAGAGGGCAGCGCCUGGAGAAGUCAGGAGGUUACGGCCCGGGAGGUGGAGCCCAGGCCUGGCCGGGGUUGUGGGCGGGGUUCCCGGGGAGGGGGCCCUGUGAGGUCAGGGGCACUUGGCACUUAUAAAUACAUUUCUCCCUCAUCCUCACAGUUCUGCCAAGCUAAUGAGCGUUGUCCUGGUUGACCGUAACCUUGAUGUCUGUGAAAGGCGUGGCACCUUGGGAGACAGCCUGUAGAUCCCCCACCCCCUGCCCCGGUGGGGUAGCCUCUAGGAUUCUGUUUGAACAAGCCCUUUAACCUGUGGUUUCAGAAUUAGAUAUUUAAUGCCCUUCAAAUAUUUAAUUCUCUUCAUGGAGAUGGGUUUUUUUUUUUUUCUUUUUCUUUUUCCUCUCACAGGGCGUGCGGAAGUUCUAGGCUGGGGAUCAAACCCAUGCCACAGCAGUAACCCAAGCCACAGCAGUGACAAUGCUGAGUCCUUAACUGCUGGGCCACCCGGGAACUCCUCAAGUAGAAUUUUUAAAAAGCUUAACACCAGAGAACCCCAAACCAGUGCCCUUAAUCUGUAUAACUUGAUUGGUAGACAUGGUGGCGUAUACAGUAUUUAGAGGAAAAAAAAAACCCAGUAGAAUUUACUAUGAGUAUUUUUUACAGUCAAAGGGUUUUACAUAAAAAUCUGGAUUUCUAGCUUUUGCUACAUCCAAAAAUGGGGUGGCCUUAGGGCCACAUCCCUACGUGUCUGCAGCCAUCUGGAGAGAGGCAGCUGCUUCCUCUUGGCUGUGGCAUUUGCUCUGCUGGCUACAAGCCCCACCAUUCUUCUGGAAGUCUUCCCCACCUCUGAAGGAGCGAGCAUCAUGCUGACACUUUGAAAAAAAUAGUUCAUUCUUUUUUCUUACAAAGCAUUACUUUUUUCUUAUUGGUAAAGAUGACGUUUUAUUUAUUUUUUUGUCUUUUGUCUUUUUAGGGCUGCACCCAAGGCAUAUGGAGGUUCCCAGGCUAGGGGUCUCCUUGGAGCUGUAGCUGCCAGCCUACGCCACAGCCACAGCCACAGCCACAGCCACACCAGAUCUGAGCCACAUCUGUGACCCACACCCCAGCUCACGGCAACGCCGGAUCCUUAAGAUGACGUUUUAAUAUGUCUUAUACAUUUGUCUCUUUCGUAAAUGGGAAAAUGAACGUUAGAACAAGAAUCCCACGCAUUUCAAGAAAAAUGGGAGAGAGCUUAUUUCUUUGUGGAGCUGCAGGAUGUU
rnacentral:lncRNA from 1 species